UACCUGGGGCUGAGGAUAGGGCGCAUCUGUAGACUAUUUUCGUGCAUACCCAACGCCCUGGGUUCCAGCCUCAGCACAGAAUGUCGCUAAGUAAAAAUAAAGACUGUCAUUGGCAUUUUCUCACUAGGUAUCCCUGACUGCUCUGGAAUUUACUGUGUAGCUCAGACUGGGAUUGAAUUUGUGCCAAUCCUCUGCCUCCUGAGUGUUGGAAAAGAAUGAUGUUGGAGUUGAACCAAGAACAAAGCAAAAGUAACUCAGCAAGACUUAUUACUGUUACCAUUAUUUUGCAGAAGCUGUGCUUGCAGGGAGGUGUGAAGAUGGAUCCUCAGAUUGUAUUACAGCUCACAAUUGCCUGAAACUCCAGUUCCAGGGGAACUGAUGCCCUCUUCUGGUUUCCCCAGGAACUGCACAGACAUUAUGCAAGCAAAACACCCAAGCACAUAAAAAUGAAUUUCUACAAAAGUGUGUGUCUGUGUGCCAAACCCAAACCCAGCUACUGGGUACACAUGGCUGAGAUGGCUACUGUCUUUUAUUCCUGGUGGAGGCGGUGACUUUGUCUCAUCCCAUUGGUGGGAACUCCAACUUCUCCACACAAUUAGCCAAUAAACUGGGAAAGAGGUAGGUUCAGGAAAUAGGGGCCUUUGUUGUAUUAACUACCUUGAAGAGAAAAGGAAAUCCCGUUUCUCACACAAGUGCAUGUACUACCCUAACAGAGUCCCGAAGAUUACCCAUGUAACAACCUUCCAGGGUAGAGAAAUAGCUUGGUGCUUAAGAGCACCCGAUGCUCCUCCAGAGGACCUGAGUUUGAUUUCCAGCACCACACAGAGGCUCCCCACCCUCCAUAACGCCAGUUCCAGGGCCUCUGAUGCCCUCUUCUAGCCUCACUGACAGCAAGCAUGCAUGUGGUACACAAGUACACAUGCAGGCAAACACCCACUCACCUAAAACAACAAAAAUCUUCCAAACCCAGUCUUGGAAAAUAUGUGAACAGAUAGUGUCUAACUCCGAAGUCGGGUGUUUCCUUUUUGAGGUUUGUCACCGUCAAGUCUCAGAUUUAAGUCACCUCAGAGUGGCCGUAAGGUAACAUGUGGCCUGAUCCUGGGUCUUUGGUAAAUGUGUACACUGGCAAGGGUCUAGCUCAGCUGCUAGAGUGCCUGCCCAUCACGGCCUGGGGGCAGUCACCAGCACGACAUGAAGGAGUGUGAUCGCACACACCUGUAAUCACAGCCCUUUGGAGGCACAGGCAGGAUGAUCAGAAGGUUAAGGUCAGCCGUGGCUACAUCGUUACGGUAGCUCUGGCUCAACCAAAAAAAAAAUAUAUAUAUAUAUAUAUAUAUACACACAUAUAUAAGCAUAUAUAAUAUUUUUUAAUGAGUAGCUAAUGAAUACUAAACGAAAGGGAUAGUGGGCAUUCAAUCUCAUGGUAGUGGAGAAGACAAAGUCCUUGUCUGCUCACCCUAUUAUUUUAGAUGUCCCUCAGGCUGGCUCAGGUGGCCAGCCCUCUAGAAGCCUAAAGCCCCUGGUCACCCUGCGUCGUUCCCAGCUCUCUCACACAGAAAUUCUGCGUCUGCCUCCGCCUCAGUGCUGGGAUUAAAGGCGCGCACCACCUCUCGCGUUAUAACUCUGCUAUCUCCUAAGAGUACAACGCUCCCGCAAUCACCAUCGGAGUCUCUUAACAGGUCUGAGCACAAGGGAGGGUCAGGAAAUGUUUUGUUGUUGGGUGAAGGCACCGUUGGGCAGGGCCUUCCCAGCUCUGCAAUUCUUUCCAGGGCUUCAGAGGGCGACGGGCAGCUGAGUAAGCCGAGGACAGGAAGCAGGCUUCCCUGGGGGCAGCCGCCCCCGCGCACCCGGCUCCCCUUCACUCCAGGAUAAACAAACAUCCGACUCAACAAUUAGCUGACGGAGAGCAGAGCGGGCUGCCGGGCUGGAUCUCCAUCAAGAUUUCCCAAGCGUGGCCCUGGACGACUAGACCCGAACACAACCACAAAUGUUCUGCAGAGAAAUUGGCGAUGCUGAGACACAUUCAGUCUUUAUUCCGGAGAAUUAAACGGAGGGCGGGGGCCGGGGCUGACCCUGAGCCAGAGGUCGAUGGUCCUUCAGCGCCGCCUGCCAGCGGAGCAGAGAAAACCGCAUCUCGCUGAAGCUGCGGGAGAAGUCGGCGAAUGACGAAGCCUUCUGGCGUUGGCCAGAAAAGCAGCCAGAGGAGGAGGAAGGAACGAGAACCGGGACGCUCGCGAGCCCAGCGGCAGCACAGGCCAGGAAGGACUCAAGGCAUCUAGUGGACAGACUGCCGAGUUUUGUUGGGAAGAUUCGCGAUGAAGCUGCUUUUGUAAAUUUGUAAAAUUAGCCGGGCGUGGCGUAAUGCCAGCAUCUAAGAGAGAGUCGGGAGGAUUGGGAGAGUUGAGGCCAGACUGAUUGGUGAAGUGAGUUAUAGGCUAGCCUGGGCUACUCAGAGGCAUCACGGGAAACAUAAGAAAACCCCGCAUCGAAAAGCAGGACGGAGGAGGAGAGAGGAAAUCAACUUAAGUAAGGCACAAGAUACCUUAUUUGUUUAAGCUUUGCGUUUUGGUGCCAGAGAGGUAAGAGGCAAGCUCUCUGCCGCUGAGCAGCAUCUUCACCGAGCUGCAUCUCCACUGAGCAGCAUCUUUACUAGCUGAAUCUUCAGGCUUCUUUUCGCCAUCCUUUAUUUCGAGGUAGACUCUCACCAGGCUGUUCAGGCUGCUCAGUCCACACACUACUUUCAGGCUUGAAUUUUCAGUCUUUUCUGCCUCAGCCUCUGUAGAUGCGGGGGCUGAUCGGUUUUGCCUUCAGGCUCUGUUUUGUAGGAGAGGGAGUGUUUUGUCCUCUGUCCUUCAACACCUGCACCUUCUGCCUUCACCUCUCAAGCAGUGGGAUUAUGGCGUGCAUGUACAGCCUGCCCAAGGAACACUUCUUGGUGACCAGCCUAAAGGUAGCGGAACAGUGGCCGGUCAUCUCCAGAUGCCUCUUUUUGAGUGCCUCCCUCAUCUCCUCACCAGUCAGUGGGAACUCUUAUGCUAGUCAUGACUUCGAUUCGUGUGGAUUCCUGUUGCCUGUUUUAGCACUAUGUUAAGGUUUUAUUGCUGUGAGGAGACAGUCAUGGUGUCUUAUAAAGGAAAACUUACUUGUUUAUUUCUUCACUUGUUUUGUUUUUUUGAAGACAGGGUUUCAUGUGUGUAACAGUCCUGGCUGUUCUGGACUUCCUUUGUAGAUCAGGCUGGCCUCUGCCUCCCAAAGAGUGGUAGAAUUAAAAGUGUGCUACCCUGCCUGGGUUUUUAUUUAUUUGUUUGUUUUUCAAACAACAAGGUUUCUUUUCACCACUUAGCUAUUUGUCCUGGAACUUUUACUCUAUAGACCAGGCUGGCCUUGAACUCAGAAAUCAAUCCACCUGCCUUUGUCUUCUGAGUACUAGAAUUAAAGGUGUGUGCCGCCAUCACCCAACAUAAAAAAGUUUAAAUGUGGCUGGCUUACAAGUCAUGCAGGAAGCAUGGGGGCAUGCAGGCAGGCAUGCUGCUGGAGAGGCAGCUGAGAGUCCUGCGUCUGGAUCAGCAGGCAGCAGGAAGAGAGAAACAUUGGGUCUGUGAAGUCUAUCCCCAGUGACAUACUUCUAACAAGGCCAAGGCCACACCUCCAACUAGUGCCACUCCCUUUGGUUUAUGGGGGGUAUUUUUAUUGAAACCACUAAAAGUUCUGAAUAUAAAUGGAAUCCAGCUGCAAGAACUCUCAUUAAUAGCUCUGUUGUGUAACUGAUUCUUCAGAAACUGCUUCCUUGAAACAUUCUGUUCUGAAGGGACAGCUUCCGGAAGUCCCUGAAACUGACCUGAUUCUAGGCCCUUCCCAGAGUAAACAAGCUAAGCAGGAAAAGAAGACACGGAGAUCUGUUUGGCAGAAGCAGAAGCCAGCCGAGGUGCCUGGACUAGGUGUAGACCAACCUUUGAGCUGCGUGCUGUUUUGUAGUGUGCUCCAUGCUCCCAGCCUCUGUGACGUAUCACCAUGCAGGGGUGGGCUGUCUUUGAGUUAUUUCUGCUCCUUAAGACAUGUCAGCUCCUGGCAGCACCCCCACUGUACUUGAAAGAAGUUGAUGGGUAUCGAAGAACCUCCAUUUGGAGUUUGCCUCAAAUGUGGCAAGCUAGCUACUGGACAAGAAAGUGACUUGACUCAACUGCAGAAGGCAUACUGUCCAAAUUGUAGACAAUCUGGAUGUAGGGAAGUCGACUGCCAAAACAAGAAAAACAGUCCUUCCUAAUUCCUGCUUCAUAAACAGUCUGUCAUAUACUGGAAAGGAUGCCUCAGUGUUGCUGAGGAGUACUGGGUGACUGUCCAGGCAGCCAGCUCUUUCUGUCAUUUCUAGAGUUUUGGAAGAUGCUUGCUCUGUACUUCCUACUUACUCAGGAUCAGCUGUGGACUGCAAGCUGAAAUCUGGACUUCCUGGAAACUGACAUGAUUGCUUCCUGCCUCUUUGAGUGGAUCAACUAACCAGAUGCUUGGGACUGCCCUAUUGCCCAGCCUUUGACUGGCAUUUCAGUCUCCCUAGCCCCUGAUGCCUACGGUCCAACGGUCAGCAUCAAAGAAGCUCCAGAAGACGGAUCUUCACCCAAAUCCCCGCUAGCAGGCUGAAAUGCUAAGUCAAAAGGGGCUCCCUGGCAUUAGCUAUUAUCUUGGGCAUCUGCUUAGCUGAAAUGGAAAGUAAUAUUACAGCAACUGGGCUAAAAGCCUAGAGAGACCCUAAAAAAGAGGAUAAUAGUUCUCCUUGGCUUACUACCCUAAAGGGACCCCUACUUAUUUUGAUUUUUAUUUUUGGGGCCUUGUAUUUUCAUUCACUCAAUGGCUUUCAUAAAAAAAUGCUUAAGAGCAUUACACUAAUGGUAUUCAGAUCCCAUUAUAAAAAGAUAAAUCUAUAAGAUACAAGGGGUCAUGUCUGGAAGACCCAAGAUUGGAUCUUCAAAUGAUCAUGGGAAAGGGGGAAACGAGAGACCAAAAGAUAAAGUAGCAGCUAUUAUUAAGACCUAAAGUAGGUACGGUAAAGAAGUUUAGUAAUGCCCUGAGGGGAAGAGCCACCUCACUGUAUUCUUUCCCCACCCACUAGAGAUAGAGUUGCUAGGAAACUGGACCAUCCCCAUAGGGAGGGACACCAGGUCAUUAAUGGUCUGGGAACCUUCCUAUAGCCAAUCGAUUCAAAAUGUAACAUCUUGACCAAUAGAUGCUUGCCAGGCAGGAAUUGUCCCUGCCUUGGACAUGCUGGGAUGGACCAGAAUCUAUAAAUCACCCAACUAACCUGGGGGCAGCGCGCUCAGCUUCCACCGCUUUGGCAGUGGGGCUGUGUAGGCCCAAGCUGCAGCUUGUAAUUUACAAUAAAAAGACCCUCAUGUGUU